rnacentral:rRNA from 1 species
UACGGGGGGGUGCAAGCGUUGCUCGGAAUCACUGGGCGUAAAGCGUCCGCAGGCGGCUUGAUAAGUCGGGUGUGAAAGCCCCCGGGCUCAACCCCGGGAGGGUCGCGGCGAACUGGGGAGCUUGAGGCCGGGUAGAGGUGGGUGGAACUCCUGGUGGAGUGGUGAAAUGCGUAGAGAUCAGGAAGAACACCCGUGGCGAAGGCGGCCCACUGGGCCGGUGCUGACGCUGAGGCGCGAAGGCGUGGGGAGCGAACGGG